rnacentral:rRNA from 1 species
GAAUUGAAGAGUUUGAUCAUGGCUCAGAUUGAACGCUGGCGGCAGGCUUAACACAUGCAAGUCGAACGGUAGCAGGAAGAAAGCUUGCUUUCUUUGCUGACGAGUGGCGGACGGGUGAGUAAUGCUUGGGAAUCUGGCUUAUGGAGGGGGAUAACUGUGGGAAACUGCAGCUAAUACCGCGUAUUCUCUGAGGAGGAAAGGGUGGGACCUUAGGGCCACCUGCCAUAAGAUGAGCCCAAGUGGGAUUAGGUAGUUGGUGGGGUAAAGGCCUACCAAGCCUGCGAUCUCUAGCUGGUCUGAGAGGAUGACCAGCCACACUGGAACUGAGACACGGUCCAGACUCCUACGGGAGGCAGCAGUGGGGAAUAUUGCGCAAUGGGGGGAACCCUGACGCAGCCAUGCCGCGUGAAUGAAGAAGGCCUUCGGGUUGUAAAGUUCUUUCGGUAAUGAGGAAGGGAUGUUGUUAAAUAGAUAGCAUCAUUGACGUUAAUUACAGAAGAAGCACCGGCUAACUCCGUGCCAGCAGCCGCGGUAAUACGGAGGGUGCGAGCGUUAAUCGGAAUAACUGGGCGUAAAGGGCACGCAGGCGGACUUUUAAGUGAGAUGUGAAAUCCCCGAGCUUAACUUGGGAACUGCAUUUCAGACUGGGAGUCUAGAGUACUUUAGGGAGGGGUAGAAUUCCACGUGUAGCGGUGAAAUGCGUAGAGAUGUGGAGGAAUACCGAAGGCGAAGGCAGCCCCUUGGGAAUGUACUGACGCUCAUGUGCGAAAGCGUGGGGAGCAAACAGGAUUAGAUACCCUGGUAGUCCACGCUGUAAACGCUGUCGA